rnacentral:rRNA from 1 species
UACGGAGGAUGCAAGCGUUAUCCGGAAUGAUUGGGCGUAAAGCGUCCGCAGGUGGCUGUGUAAGUCUGCUGUUAAAGAGUGAGGCUCAACCUCAUAAAGGCAGUGGAAACUACAUGGCUAGAGUGCGUUCGGGGCAGAGGGAAUUCCUGGUGUAGCAGUGAAAUGCGUAGAGAUCAGGAAGAACACCGGUGGCGAAAGCGCUCUGCUAGGCCGCAACUGACACUGAGGGACGAAAGCUAGGGGAGCGAAUGGG